AACGAACGCUGGCGGCAUGCCUAACACAUGCAAGUCGAACGAUACCUUCGGGUCUAGUGGCGCACGGGUGCGUAACGCGUGGGAACCUGCCCUUAGGUUCGGAAUAACUCCCCGAAAGGGGUGCUAAUACCGGCUAAUGUCUUCGGACCAAAGAUUUAUCGCCCUUGGAUGGGCCCGCGUUGGAUUAGCUAGUUGGUAGGGUAAAAGCCUACCACGGCGACGAUCCAUAGCUGGGCUGAGAGGAUGAGCAGCCACACUGGGACUGAGACACGGCCCAGACUCCUACGGGAGGCAGCAGUGGGGAAUAUUGGAAAAUGGGCGAAAGCCUGAUCCAGCAAGGCCGCGUGAGUGAUGAAGGCAUUAGGGUUGUAAAGCUCUUUUACCCGGGAUGAUAAUGACAGUACCGGGAGAAUAAGCACCGGCUAACUCCGUG
rnacentral:rRNA from 1 species